UGGGAGUAUCAUAAGUUUUCU
rnacentral:piRNA from 1 species